ensembl:lncRNA
GUGUCAUCUGUGAGGCAGCACAAGUGCUAAAACAACAGGUUUAGAAGAAGGUCAAGAUAAUUAAAAGGGGUGCCUGAAAUACAGUAUAAAAUGGAAUUGCCAGCUUGUACAUCUGUACUUAGAAUUCUCAGAAUCAAUAAUAAUGCAAUUAAAACAAGUUGGUGGUUUUGUACUGCUGUUUAUUGCUGUUGGAUUGGUCGACGCAUAAUGGUCAAGACUGUGGAAGAUUCAAGCUACUUCAGGAGCACCACUUGUGUAGCUUGAAAGGCAUUUUGAUCCUUUUCCUACUUUGAGUGUAACAGCAGAGUGCAAUGAGACUACAGUGUAUGUGGCCAGUAAAGAAAAAUCUGUUUGGUAAUGGUAAACCCAUCAAUAUGGCUGCUCUCACCCUGGGAGGCUGUGCUGCUAAAGGGGAAAAUGCUGCUUCUCAAGUCCUUAUCUACUGCAAUAGCAAGUUUUCUGUGAACGAGGAUGAACUGGCCUUUGUCUUUGCCCUUGGUUUUGCUUCAGAGCCUUUAAGUGGUACUCCCAUUUCAAUUCACUAUCCAAGAUUCUGUGAUGCUCCCAGCAGUACUCUGAUGCCUGUGUGGUGUUCCCAAGUGGAGGGAAACGUUUAUCCCAAAUUUAGUAAAUUCAACUAUGCCACCAGGGGAAAUGCUCCCAAAUAAAGGCACACAUAACUUUUACCACUCAUGGCAAGGAACAUGAGAGUGAGACAUGAGUAUGAAUAUAAAUUACAUUUUAUUAUGACACUUAAGCAUCACUAAAACUUAACAUACAAAUUUAAAAUCUAUCUCCCAUGAUGCACAAUAAGGAUUUUAAGAUAAACUGAGCACUUCUCCAAGCCCAUGCUGGGCAGGGACAAGGCAGGCCAGCUACAGCUCAGGAGGUCAUCCAAGCCCAGUGCAAGUCACACCGAAAUCAUCAAACACUACCUACACCAUAAGGAAGUUGUUGUGUUGGCAGACUGAGCACACUGUGAAGCACACACCAACGAAUAAAUGCAGCUAGUCUCCCCUGUCCCACCAAGACUCACUGGCUCCUGGAGAGAAAGAAGACACUGGUUAACCCAAAAUUACACAAACAAUAAACAAAAAGAAACAACUUACUGACACCAUGGGGGGGGGGCUAGAUCACCCAGGCCCACUGACACCACCACAUGAAAUAGAGGCAGUUAACAGCACCUAAGAAGGAUCAAAAUUAUGGUAAAAAGUAAAUAAAAUGAAAAAUAUAGCAACUGUAGCAUGGAGACAGUAAGGCUUAACAUACACCUUGUUUUGUGGAACAACAAACCUGAAACAGGUUUGGGGCAGGAAAACACUAAUUUACCACUUAGCCUCUCAGACUACAUGUCAUUGCAGAACAUAAGCCAAACAUGCAUCCAAAACUAAAGUCAACAAUACCGACACUAACAUAAUGAACAAUACUAGACAAAGUGAGACAAUAAAUAAAACCAUGAAACAAUGACAAAACAAAAUAAGAAAUCGAUGAAGCAAAACAGAUUGG